UGUGCUAUUCUAGUCUUUGUUUUAUUUUUUAUUUUUUUCCUCUGCAGUCCCAAGGGUUAGAAAUUUAUUAUUUAUAAAUAAAUGAAAACUGAGUUUCCCACAUCAUAUACAAUUCUGAAAGCUGGACCUUAACACCACCGCCGAGAUACUGGGAGACUCUAGGCUGGACCAGAAAAAUUGGCAGCUCUCUGACAUGUUCAUCUGGAUUGUUUAUGUUUUCCCCACUGGGAGCAAGAGCUUUCUUUGAAGGCAUUGCAUCACUUCUCUCCGGGAGGAACAUUUGGUGAUGGGCAGCUUCUUGCAAAACUAGCCGGAGAGUUUUCAACAAUACGUAGCAGGGCUAAGCUUUCCAACACCGCAUCCAAACCUCCUGUACGGCAAGGAAAGAAAAGAAUGGAUGUAAACAGAAGUGGAAAAACAAUGAGAAGAAUGAUUGCACAAACUCUUUUCAUGUCUUGAAAAAGGUCCAGUCAGGAUGGAAAAUAUCUUGUGAAAAGGAAUAGCCUGUGGAGGAUUCUCUGCCCUCGACUAUAAAAAGGUGGAGAUUUGCGGAAGGGGAAGGCAGAUGCAGCAGGGGGACGCAGAAGAGGUAGGCUGGAAGGGCAGCCCUGGGUCACCCAGCCCGGACCCUCGGUAGCAGCAGCAGCCACGUCACGUAGGUGCAGUUGACACCUGAAUCUUGACUACAUAUAUAAUAACAAAGAGAUGCCUCCAUAGAGAUAUGGAAAUCUGACGUCUGAGGGAGGGAGCUCUGCCAUAAAGCAAUCAACAGGAGGUAGGUACAUCAUCAGCUCUGACACACCGGCGUGAUCUAGGGAUGCUUCUGUAAAACACUCAAGCCAGUGUCAUCAUCCAACAUGAAGCGAUGGAUCAGGGAAUAUUGUAAAGACAUUUCCAGUACUUCAUGUUUCCCUUUUUGGUUUUUGUUUGUUUGGCUUUUUUUUUUUUUUUUUCCCUCAGAUUAUAUGUUAUAUGUUGAUUGAAACCACUGAGUAGAUAGAUGAGUGGUAAGGAAGAAUUUUCAAAUCAAUCAAAGUAAAAGAAAAGGUUUUGGUGAUUUCUUAUUAUAGUUAUCCUCAGUUGCAUAAUGUUGUAUUUUUUUAAAGUAUUCUUGAGACUAAUACUUUCCUGCUCAUGGAGCUGAGACCUUCACCUAUGCCCUUAUCAUCUCUGGCUUCGAUGAUGGUCACAUUUUCUUCUCUGGCUUAUCUAACGCUCAUUCAAAUACAGCUGCCAUAGAUGAUCUUCCUUCCUUGCCACUACAGUUAGAAUUACCCCUCCACUGAAUCAUCAUUUGCAGUGCUAAAGGAGCUUGCUUCUUGUCCUCAGCUUCAAAAGAUGAACUCACCUUCACCUUUUCUUGAUUUUUUUUUUUUUUGUCAUCUCUCAACCUGUUGCUCUUUGCUCUCAUAACAUCUUUGCUAUGGAGAUAUGUCUGUAACAUUUUGAGGUGUGUUUUUGUCCAACAUUGUAGAGUGAGCAUGCUAUUGGAAACAUUGUCUUUCAAGAACCUGAAAAUCUGCUUUGUCCUUAUUUGGGUCCAUUCUCAAGACUUAUGUCCUAUGUCUCUAGGUAUCUCCCUUUAAGAAGAGAAAAUGAUUUGUGAUUGGGAAUUCGUUUUUACACUUAUUUUUAAAACAUGAAAUAUGGUGUGAUGAUGGUCAUGAUAUACAUGUGUCUUAGAUUGAUUCCACAAUAUUAUUACUGUUUAUUGCUUCUGUCAUCCUCGA